AGAUAGAUAACAGAACUCUAGAUAGCUAGACAGAUGUAUCACGAGAUAACUAGUAAGCAAGUUAGCUAGAUAGACAGAUAGAUCGAUAGCAAGACAGUAAAAGCUUGCUCCCCCUAGCUAAGCAAAUCCCACUAGCUUGUCUUUUUAAAGAAGCUUCAAAACUGCUUACAAAUAUGAUUUCACCUACAACAUAUACAAAUUAUAAAAGACGAAACUUUAUGAGAAUCAACUGAAACCCCAACCUGGUCAUAAAUCGCGUUUUUACAUAGAACCCUGUUUAUCUGAAAAUGUCUCAAAUGUAUUAACCAAAAGAACUGGAGAGAAGAAUCCUUAGAAUAGCGGUUACUACAGCUGAACACAGCACACAACAUUUUUGGACCUUGGACUUUUAAAUGGUGAGAUCGUAUGUAGCUAGCUAAUCGGAAUAAAACGACACAGCAUCACACCUGCCACUGAAGCACUCUGCCUGGCUGCGAGGAUGGGGAAAUCCGUAUAUGGUCAUACGGUAGUAAGACAAGCCACAUUGCACGCACUGAAAUUAACCCAGAUUUGGGAAUUUUGGCGGAAUUAUUUUUAAAAAUCAGACCCAGGGAGACAUUACAAGGGAUGGGAUUAACUAGUUAAACCACCAUUUCUUGUGUAAAAAAUUGACCUCUUUUCUGGCUUUCCCCAUUGACUUAACAUUUGGUGGGCGGGGUUUCAAGUUUUUUGCAACCAGGCGUUGCAGUUCACGCAGUAGCCAUUGGGGUAAAAGGCUUCACUCAUAGAGGCGAGUUGUUGCCCAUUGGUUCAAGACAACUCAGAACUAGUAAAAAAAAAAAAAAAACGUCCGAUUUGUGGAAAAAAACAACUGAACGGUCGAACUUGGAAUUAUAGGUUGGAAAUUCGGGCAUCAUUUCUGAGCUCCGACUUUUCCGAACUCAGAAGUGGUGACGUCACAAUAAGUAAAAGUUAUACAAAAAUGGUGGCAUUCGUAGUUCAUGUGUAUGCAGACAAGGACAACAAUUUGCUCAUCGAUGAGGCUAGAAAUAAUUCGUUCAGUGGAACGUUGUUUCAAGCUGCUGGGGAGUUUGGGAGCUACUUCCUUGAUGAGCAGAGGGUGUGGAAAUAAGACGGCCAGAUGCUCUGGGAGUCGAAGAGUUGCCCACUAAUGAGGCAGCAUCAAUGGUACCAACCCCAACACAGGCGGAGAGUAAGACCAUCGCAUAGCUGUCUCCUGGAGUUCCUGAGGUAGUCCGAGGCAGCCAGCCAGGCCAGACAUGAGGUGCUACUCAACCAAAUGAGAUCCUCACAGGAGUCUUUCCAGAACAUGAUGUCCACCUUCCUCGAGAAGCUUUAGGGAAAAAAAGCACUCUUUACUAUGUAAGCACUUUUACCAAUCUCGAUUGUGGGCUAGUUCAGUGCAUGUAUGCACAUUUCAUGUUAAAAGGACUAAUGCACCCUUUUUCCAUUACAUUUUAUUUAUUUUUUCCCUUAAAUACUGAUGUAAUGCCUCUGAGUUUGUAACUCUAGCAUUCUUAGUUUAGUGCUAAUGAGGGAGACACUGUUAGAAGCAACUAGAAUGGACCCUUAACCAGUCGUGGCUCCCUGCUUAAUUUUUUUUAUGAUGAGUCUCUCCUGCCUGGGCUAAGUUAAUAAAAAACGACCCUUUGUGUUAAAGCUGAUUGAAAUGUUAUAAUUUAGUGUUUCGACUUUUACAAUUGAAUCUACUUGAAUUAAAAAAUUCUAAUAGAGGUGAUGUUCCAGACAGGCUUAGUUUUUUGCCCUGCAUAUCUUGAAAUGGUCCUGCUUUGAAACCGAAGUUGACCUGAAUAUUAUCUGAAGUACCUUGAAUAAAUGUCUA